rnacentral:piRNA from 1 species
GUGCUGUACGUCUUUGUGGACAUCCGG